AGAGUUUGAUCCUGGCUCAGGAUGAACGCUAGCUACAGGCUUAACACAUGCAAGUCGAGGGGAAACGACAUCGAAAGCUUGCUUUUGAUGGGCGUCGACCGGCGCACGGGUGAGUAACGCGUAUCCAACCUGCCCAUCACUUGGGGAUAACCUUGCGAAAGUAAGACUAAUACCCAAUGACGUCUCUAGAAGACAUCUGAAAGAGAUUAAAGAUUUAUCGGUGAUGGAUGGGGAUGCGUCUGAUUAGCUUGUUGGCGGGGUAACGGCCCACCAAGGCGACGAUCAGUAGGGGUUCUGAGAGGAAGGUCCCCCACAUUGGAACUGAGACACGGUCCAAACUCCUACGGGAGGCAGCAGUGAGGAAUAUUGGUCAAUGGACGAGAGUCUGAACCAGCCAAGUAGCGUGCAGGAUGACGGCCCUAUGGGUUGUAAACUGCUUUUAUAAGGGAAUAAAGUGAGAGUCGUGACUCUUUUUGCAUGUACCUUAUGAAUAAGGACCGGCUAAUUCCGUGCCAGCAGCCGCGGUAAUACGGAAGGUCCGGGCGUUAUCCGGAUUUAUUGGGUUUAAAGGGAGCGUAGGCCGGAGAUUAAGCGUGUUGUGAAAUGUAGGCGCUCAACGUCUGCACUGCAGCGCGAACUGGUUUCCUUGAGUACGCACAAAGUGGGCGGAAUUCGUGGUGUAGCGGUGAAAUGCUUAGAUAUCACGAAGAACUCCGAUUGCGAAGGCAGCUCACUGGAGCGCAACUGACGCUGAAGCUCGAAAGUGCGGGUAUCGAACAGAAUUAGAUACCCUGGUAGUCC
rnacentral:rRNA from 1 species